UACGUAGGGUGCAAGCGUUGUCCGGAAUUAUUGGGCGUAAAGAGCGUGUAGGCGGCCAGGUAGGUCCGUUGUGAAAACUCGAGGCUCAACCUCGAGACGUCGGCGGAAACCCUCUGGCUAGAGUCCGGAAGAGGAGAGUGGAAUUCCUGGUGUAGCGGUGAAAUGCGCAGAUAUCAGGAAGAACACCCGUGGAGGCGGCUCUCUGGGACGGUACUGACGCUGAGACGCGAAAGCGUGGGGAGCAAACAGG
rnacentral:rRNA from 1 species